GCGAGUGGCGAACGGGUGAGUAACGCGUGAGGAACCUGCCUCAAAGAGGGGGACAACAGUUGGAAACGACUGCUAAUACCGCAUAAGCCCACGACCCGGCAUCGGGUAGAGGGAAAAGGAGCAAUCCGCUUUGAGAUGGCCUCGCGUCCGAUUAGCUAGUUGGUGAGGUAAUGGCCCACCAAGGCGACGAUCGGUAGCCGGACUGAGAGGUUGAACGGCCACAUUGGGACUGAGACACGGCCCAGACUCCUACGGGAGGCAGCAGUGGGGAAUAUUGCACAAUGGGGGAAACCCUGAUGCAGCGACGCCGCGUGGAGGAAGAAGGUCUACGGAUUGUAAACUCCUGUUGUUGAGGAAGAUAAUGACGGUACUCAACAAGGAAGUGACGGCUAACUACGUGCCAGCAGCCGCGGUAAAACGUAGGUCACAAGCGUUGUCCGGAAUUACUGGGUGUAAAGGGAGCGCAGGCGGGAAGACAAGUUGGAAGUGAAAUCCAUGGGCUCAACCCAUGAACUGCUUUCAAAACUGUUUUUCUUGAGUAGUGCAGAGGUAGGCGGAAUUCCCGGUGUAGCGGUGGAAUGCGUAGAUAUCGGGAGGAACACCAGUGGCGAAGGCGGCCUACUGGGCACCAACUGACG
rnacentral:rRNA from 1 species